rnacentral:tRNA from 1 species
AGGAAGUUAGUCUAGCCAAGACAGUUGAUUUCGACUCAACAAACCAUAGCCAAACCCUAUGACUUCCUC